rnacentral:rRNA from 1 species
AGGGCGCACGGUGGAUGCCUUGGCACUAGAAGCCGACGAAGGACGUUACUAACGACGAUAUGCUUUGGGGAGCUGUAAGUAAGCUUUGAUCCAGAGAUUUCCGAAUGGGGAAACCCAGCACGAGUUAUGUCGUGUUAUCGAUAUGUGAAUACAUAGCAUAUCUGAAGGCAGACGCGGAGAACUGAAACAUCUUAGUACCCGCAGGAAGAGAAAGAAAAAUCGAUUCCCUGAGUAGCGGCGAGCGAAACGGGAAGAGCCCAAACCAACGAGCUUGCUUGUUGGGGUUGUAGGACACUCUAUACGGAGUUACAAAAGAACAGACUAGACGAAUCAUCUGGAAAGAUGAAUCAAAGAAGGUAAUAAUCCUGUAGUCGAAAGUUUGUUCACUCUUGAGUGGAUCCUGAGUACGACGGAACACGAGAAAUUCCGUCGGAAUCUGGGAGGACCAUCUCCCAAGGCUAAAUACUCUCUAGUGACCGAUAGUGAACCAGUACCGUGAGGGAAAGGUGAAAAGUACCCCGGAAGGGGAGUGAAAUAGAACUUGAAACCGUGUGCUUACAAGUAGUCAGAGCCCGUUAAUGGGUGAUGGCGUGCCUUUUGUAGAAUGAACCGGCGAGUUACGAUUUGAUGCAAGGUUAAGCAGUGAAUGUGGAGCCGUAGCGAAAGCGAGUCUGAAUAGGGCGUUGAGUAUUUGGUCGUAGACCCGAAACCAGGUGAUCUACCCAUGACCAGGUUGAAGUUCAGGUAACACUGAAUGGAGGACCGAACCGACUUACGUUGAAAAGUGAGCGGAUGAGUUGUGGGUAGCGGAGAAAUUCCAAUCGAACCUGGAGAUAGCUGGUUCUCUCCGAAAUAGCUUUAGGGCUAGCCUCAAGUGAUGAUUAUUGGAGGUAGAGCACUGUUUGGACGAGGGGCCCUUAUCGGGUUACCGAAUUCAGACAAACUCCGAAUGCCAAUCAAUUUAACUUGGGAGUCAGAACGCGGGUGAUAAGGUCCGUGUUCGAAAGGGAAACAGCCCAGACCACCAGCUAAGGUCCCAAAAUAUAUGUUAAGUGGAAAAGGAUGUGGCGUUGCCCAGACAACUAGGAUGUUGGCUUAGAAGCAGCCAUCAUUUAAAGAGUGCGUAAUAGCUCACUAGUCGAGUGACACUGCGCCGAAAAUGUACCGGGGCUAAACAUAUUACCGAAGCUGUGGAUUGUCCGUAAGGACAAUGGUAGGAGAGCGUUCUAAGGGCGUUGAAGCAUGAUCGCAAGGACAUGUGGAGCGCUUAGAAGUGAGAAUGCCGGUGUGAGUAGCGAAAGACGGGUGAGAAUCCCGUCCACCGAUUGACUAAGGUUUCCAGAGGAAGGCUCGUCCGCUCUGGGUUAGUCGGGUCCUAAGCUGAGGCCGAUAGGCGUAGGCGAUGGAUAACAGGUUGAUAUUCCUGUACCACCAUUAUUCGUUUUAAGCGAUGGGGGGACGCAGUAGGAUAGGCGAAGCGUACGAUUGGAUUGUACGUCCAAGCAGUGAGAUUGAGUGUUAGGCAAAUCCGGCACUCUUAAGAUUGAGCUGUGAUGGGGAGAGGAAAUUGUUUCCUCGAGUCGUUGAUUUCACACUGCCAAGAAAAGCCUCUAGCUAGAAUUGUGGUGCCCGUACCGCAAACCGACACAGGUAGUCAAGAUGAGAAUUCUAAGGUGAGCGAGCGAACUCUCGUUAAGGAACUCGGCAAAAUGACCCCGUAACUUCGGGAGAAGGGGUGCUCUUUAGGGUUAACGCCCAGGAGAGCCGCAGUGAAUAGGCCCAAGCGACUGUUUAUCAAAAACACAGGUCUCUGCUAAACCGUAAGGUGAUGUAUAGGGGCUGACGCCUGCCCGGUGCUGGAAGGUUAAGAGGAGUGGUUAGCUUCUGCGAAGCUACGAAUCGAAGCCCCAGUAAACGGCGGCCGUAACUAUAACGGUCCUAAGGUAGCGAAAUUCCUUGUCGGGUAAGUUCCGACCCGCACGAAAGGCGUAACGAUUUGGGCACUGUCUCAACGAGAGACUCGGUGAAAUCAUAGUACCUGUGAAGAUGCAGGUUACCCGCGACAGGACGGAAAGACCCCGUGGAGCUUUACUGUAGUCUGAUAUUGAAAUUCGGCACAGCUUGUACAGGAUAGGUAGGAGCCUGAGAUACGUGAGCGCUAGCUUACGUGGAGGCGUUGGUGGGAUACUACCCUCGCUGUGUUGGAUUUCUAACCCGCACCAUUUAUCAUGGUGGGAGACAGUGUCAGAUGGGCAGUUUGACUGGGGCGGUCGCCUCCUAAAGAGUAACGGAGGCGCUCAAAGGUUUCCUCAGAAUGGUUGGAAAUCAUUCAUAGAGUGUAAAGGCAUAAGGAAGCUUGACUGCGAGACUUACAAGUCGAGCAGGGUCGAAAGACGGACUUAGUGAUCCGGUGGUUCCGCAUGGAAGGGCCAUCGCUCAACGGAUAAAAGCUACCCCGGGGAUAACAGGCUUAUCUCCCCCAAGAGUUCACAUCGACGGGGAGGUUUGGCACCUCGAUGUCGGCUCAUCGCAUCCUGGGGCUGUAGUCGGUCCCAAGGGUUGGGCUGUUCGCCCAUUAAAGCGGUACGCGAGCUGGGUUCAGAACGUCGUGAGACAGUUCGGUCCCUAUCCGUCGUGGGCGUAGGAAAUUUGAGAGGAGCUGUCCUUAGUACGAGAGGACCGGGAUGGACAUACCUCUGGUGUACCAGUUGUCGUGCCAACGGCAUCGCUGGGUAGCUAUGUAUGGACGGGAUAAGUGCUGAAAGCAUCUAAGCAUGAAGCCCCCCUCAAGAUGAGAUUUCCCAACUUCGGUUAUAAGAUCCCUCAAAGAUGAUGAGGUUAAUAGGUUCGAGGUGGAAGCAUAGCGAUAUGUGCAGCUGACGAAUACUAAUCGAUCGAAGACUUAAUC